rnacentral:rRNA from 1 species
CCUACGGGGGGCAGCAGUGAGGAAUAUUGGUCAAUGGACGAGAGUCUGAACCAGCCAAGUAGCGUGAAGGAUGACUGCCCUAUGGUUUGUAAACUUCUUUUAUAUGGGAAUAAAACGUUCCACGUGUGGGAUUUUGUAUGUACCAUAUGAAUAAGGAUCGGCUAACUCCGUGCCAGCAGCCGCGGUAAUACGGAGGAUCCGAGCGUUAUCCGGAUUUAUUGGGGUUAAAGGGUGCGUAGGUGGAUUGUUAAGUCAGUUGUGAAAGUUUGCGGCUCAACCGUAAAAGUGCAGUUGAAACUGGCAGUCUUGAGUACAGUAGAGGUGGGCGGAAUUCGUGGUGUAGCGGUGAAAUGCGUAGAGAUCACGAAGAAUUCCGAUUGCGAAGGCAGUUCACUGGACUGCAACUGACACUGAGGCUCGAAAGUGUGGGUAUCAAACAGGAUUAGAUACCCUAGUAGUC